rnacentral:rRNA from 1 species
ACCCUUUAAUGUUUGAUGUUCUAACGUGGACCCGUGAUCCGGGUUGCGGACAGUGUCUGGUGGGUAGUUUGACUGGGGCGGUCUCCUCCUAAAGAGUAACGGAGGAGCACGAAGGUUGGCUAAUCCUGGUCGGACAUCAGGAGGUUAGUGCAAUGGCAUAAGCCAGCUUGACUGCGAGCGUGACGGCGCGAGCAGGUGCGAAAGCAGGUCAUAGUGAUCCGGUGGUUCUGAAUGGAAGGGCCAUCGCUCAACGGAUAAAAGGUACUCCGGGGAUAACAGGCUGAUACCGCCCAAGAGUUCAUAUCGACGGCGGUGUUUGGCACCUCGAUGUCGGCUCAUCACAUCCUGGGGCUGAAGUAGGUCCCAAGGGUAUGGCUGUUCGCCAUUUAAAGUGGUACGCGAGCUGGGUUUAGAACGUCGUGAGACAGUUCGGUCCCUAUCUGCCGUGGGCGCUGGAGAACUGAGGGGGGCUGCUCCUAGUACGAGAGGACCGGAGUGGACGCAUCACUGGUGUUCGGGUUGUCAUGCCAAUGGCACUGCCCGGUAGCUAAAUGCGGAAGAGAUAAGUGCUGA